rnacentral:rRNA from 1 species
UACAGGGGGGGCAAGCGUUGUUCGGAAUUACUGGGCGUAAAGGGCCAGUAGGCGGCCAACUAAGUCCGACGUGAAAUCCCCAGGCUUAACCUGGGAACUGCGUCGGAUACUGGAUGGCUUGAAUUCGGGAGAGGGAUGCAGAAUUCCAGGUGUAGCGGUGAAAUGCGUAGAUAUCUGGAGGAAUACCGGUGGCGAAGGCGGCAUCCUGGACCGAAACUGACGCUGAGGAGCGAAAGCGUGGGGAGCAAACAGG